GAGCAUGUAGCUCAGUGGAUAGAGCAUCAGAUUCCGAUUCUGAUAGUCGAAGGUUCAAGUCCUUCCUUGCUCAC
rnacentral:tRNA from 1 species